UGACAUACUUUGCCUUGUACCUAGAUAUAAAACAUAGAUUCCUAUGCUAGCCCUACACCAUUCAUUCAUUUUUCUACUAUUCAUUUUAUGUUGUCAACCACAGCUCAGGUGGGAUGGAGCAAGACCCAAAUCUUUGAAUUAGCGGCAGUCACAAACAGAAGAAAACUGUCACAGCUGUGUAUAGAAAAGUCCAUGCGAGGCGUUCGUGGUGUGGAAGUGACAGAAGACGGAGUCUGGUCUGGGGCUUUGCUGACUUUGGACACAGAAGCAAAAAUACCUGGAAGCAAAAUAAGUGCAAUAGGAUAACCAGAGAAUAUCCAUGGUUAACCACAAAGAUACCCAUUUGGAGCUGGUAGACAAAAUGUUCUGUAGACAAUUG